AGUCUGAGUUGCAUUCAGGAGAUGUAGAUUAAUCUUCUGCAAGCCCUA
rnacentral:tRNA from 1 species